rnacentral:rRNA from 1 species
GGAUUUCCUUAGUAGCGGCGAGCGAACAGGAAUGAGCCCAGCACUGAAUCCCGCUGUUCUGCAGUUGGGAAAUGUAGUGUUCGGGAGGAUUCAACUAAUCCCUCGACGUCGGAUCGCGUCCAAGUCCAUCUUGAAUGGGGCCACUUACCCAUAGAGGGUGCCAGGCCCGUAGUGACCGUUGCGCGUCGAGGGAGAAUCUCUCCUUAGAGUCGGGUUGCUUGAGAGUGCAGCUCUAAGCGGGUGGUAAACUCCAUCUAAGGCUAAAUAUGACCACGAGACCGAUAGCGAACAAGUACCGUGAGGGAAAGUUGAAAAGAACUUUGAAGAGAGAGUUCAAGAGAACGUGAAACCGUUCAGGGGUAAACCUGAGAAACCCAAAAGAUCGAACGGGGAGAUUCAUCUUUGACGUUGUUGGCUUCCUUGAGGCUCGCGAUGAUCCGGAUUUCGCGAUCAUGGAACACGCAGUCUUUACGGUAUGUCCGACCUCGUCGUAGUGCACUUCUCCCCUAGUAGGACGUCGCGACCCGUUGGGUGUUGGCCUACGGUCCGGUUAAAAGCCUCUCGCGUCGCUUUCAUAGCGCUUUCGCGAGAGACGACCGGUUUCCCGGCCGGCUGCCCGGCGGUAUAUAUAACAUUAUAACGGUAUUGAGCCGCAUUAAGUGCGUUCCGGCCCGUCGGCAGGUUCGUCUCGCUCGGAUUUACGGACCCAGUACCGUUGCCGGGCGCUUGACGUGGCCGUUAGUCGACGGUGUCCUCGAACAGGCUCUAACAUUCGAAAGGAUCUACCGGUCGGCGACGCUACUGCUUUGGGUACUUUCAGGACCCGUCUUGAAACACGGACCAAGGAGUCUAACAUGUGCGCGAGUCAUUGGGACUUUUUUAUAAGCCUAAAGGCGCAAUGAAAGUGAAGGUCGAUAAUUUUUUUUUAUUGUCGACGGAGGGAGGAUGGCUUGUAUUACGA